GUCGGCCCGCGGAAUUCAGCUCGGAAGGCCGGCGCGAGCGGCGGGCAAGAGAUCUGAUGGGACUCUCCCGUCGUUCGACCGCUGGUCGGCCGUGUGCACUUUCCGCGGGCAGAGCGCCACGACCGGUUCCCGGGCGGUCAGAAGGCGGCGAGGAAGGUAGGUGGUUGCUCCGGCGGCCACUGUUACAGCCUCGCCUGUCCCGAUCCGCCGGGGGACCGAGGAGCCGCCGUCGGUCGCGGCCACUCCGCUCUCUCGGGGAGUUCGACUGGCAGAGACUGGGCAACCGUGUCUGCCGACCGCUCUCUGGGAUGGUCGGAGCGGGCCUGGCCGGCACAGGGUCGGUGGCGAAUCGGUCGGCCCUCCACCCGACCCGUCUUGAAACACGGACCARGGAGUCUAACAUGCGCGCGAGUCGUUGGGUAGUACGAAACCCGAAGGCGAAGUGAAAGCGAGGGCGCGCCUCUGGUGCGCUCAGGUGGGAUCCCGCUCCUCACGGGGAGUGGGCGCACCGCCGGCCCGUCUCGUCCGCGCUGUCGGUGAGGCGGAGCAAGAGCGUGCAC
rnacentral:rRNA from 1 species